UACGGGGGGGGCAAGCGUUGUUCGGAAUUACUGGGCGUAAAGGGCGCGUAGGCGGUGCUCUAAGUUAGAUGUGAAAACUCUGGGCUCAACCCAGAGCCUGCAUCUAAAACUGGAGUGCUAGAGUUCUGGAGGGGGUAGCGGAAUUCCUGGUGUAGCGGUGAAAUGCGUAGAUAUCAGGAGGAAUACCGGUGGCGAAAGCGACUCUCUGGACGGCAACUGACGCUGAGGCACGAAAGCGUGGGGAGCAAACAGG
rnacentral:rRNA from 1 species